UUUUCUUUGCAUGCAAUGUUAAGAAGUAAGGCUUUUUAUAAUGGGAUUGUUAGAGACAUCAAAGGCCCAUUGAAGGAAAACUCUUUUCUUCUGGUUAUGGGAGUGAAAUCUAUGGCCUGAGUGAGACCUAAUGUUGCAGCUGGAGUGGAAGGAUGAUGGAUAUCCACAAGGAAGAUGCUACCUCAGACUCAGUAGAGCUUCAUCAUUAAUGAGUAAUUUAUGGAUGGCGAAUGCUUUUCUUUUCAGAAAAGCACUUAAGCACACCUGGUUUCUAAUCCACCAACUGCAACAAUGGGAGUCUCACUCUUAGACUCUUAGGAUUUUCCGAAGAUGCGAAAUCUAUGUCUUGCAAAAAGAACUAAUUUAAAAGCUGAACUUAAACAUCAUCAAGAUGACCCAUUUCAUGGCUUAAUAUCUGAAGUUAUUUCUGGUCUGGCUCCAGGGCUCUCCCAAGCUUUCAGCCUGAGUUCGAACUCCAGGAGCCACAUGGUAGAAGACAGCUGCCCUCUGAUCUCCAAAUGUAUCACAGGCCCACAAAACCAUAAACACACAAACCAACAAACCAACAAAAGUUUUUGUUUUGCUUCUGGUCCUCUUCUAAUGUGGGUGGUUUCCAGGGCCCACAAGUGGCAUCUCUGGGAAGGAGGUUCUACCCAUGCAG
rnacentral:lncRNA from 1 species